UACAGAGGUCUCAAGCGUUGUUCGGAUUCAUUGGGCGUAAAGGGUGUGUAGGUGGCGCGCUAAGUCGGGUGUGAAAUUUCGGAGCUUAACUCCGAAACUGCAUUCGAUACUGGCGUGCUUGAGGACUGGAGAGGAGACUGGAAUUCAUGGUGUAGCAGUGAAAUGCGUAGAGAUCAUGAGGAAGACCAGUGGCGAAGGCGGGUCUCUGGACAAGUUCCUGACACUGAGACACGAAGGCCAGGGGAGCAAACGGG
rnacentral:rRNA from 1 species